GCCGAGGUGGCGGAAUGGCAGACGCGAAGGUCUCAAAAACCUUUGGUCCAAAAGAUCAUGAGGGUUC
rnacentral:tRNA from 1 species